AACCUUUGCUUCUCAUGUCAA
rnacentral:misc_RNA from 1 species